rnacentral:tRNA from 1 species
AGCGCGGUGGGGCAGUUUGGAGUGCCCGCAGGGCUCAUAACCCUGAGGUCGCUGGUUCAAAUCCAGUCCGCGCUA